rnacentral:tRNA from 1 species
GGAGUUGUAGCUCAGCAGUAGAGCGCUUUCCUCGUACGUGUGAGGCACUGGUUCGAGUCCCAGCACCA